AGAGUUUGUAACACCCAAAGCCGGUGAGAUAACCUUCGGGAGUCAGCCGUCUAAGGUGGGACAGAUGAUUAGGGNGAAGUCGUAACAAGGUAGCCGUAGGAGAACCUGCGGCUGGAUCACCUCCUUUCUAAGGAAUAUACGGAGGCUACACAUACUUGUUGAAACAAUGUUCAGUUUUUGAGGGGGCUUACCUCUCUAAACUUUGGUUCUUUUGAAAACUUAGAUAUUGAUCNAUUUAUUUCUCCCUUUAAAAUUAAUAAAUAAAAAACAGCUAAUACUCCAUUAAUUUUGACCGAUCACGAAGUGACCGUUAGGUUAAGUUAUGAAGGGCGCAUGGUGGAUGCCUUGGUACUAGGAGCCCGAUGAAGGACGGGACUAACACCGAUAUGCUUCGGGGAGCUGUACGUAAGCUUUGAUCCGGAGAUUUCCGAAUGGGGAAACCCAAUCAUCUUUACCGAUGAUUACAACUUGAUGAAUACAUAGUCAAGUUGAGCA
rnacentral:misc_RNA from 1 species